CGCACGGGUGAGUAACACGUAGGUAAUGUGCCUUUGGGUGGGGAAUAACUUAGGGAAACUUAAGCUAAUACCGCAUAAUGCGAUAACUUCUUCGGAAGAUUUUGUUUAAAGAUUUAUCGCCUGAAGAGCAGCCUGCGGCAGAUUAGCUAGUUGGUAAGGUAACGGCUUACCAAGGCUACGAUCUGUAUCCGACCUGAGAGGGUGGUCGGACACACUGACACUGAAUAACGGGUCAG
rnacentral:rRNA from 1 species